rnacentral:lncRNA from 10 species
CACCUAAUAAGAGUAAAGGCAAAGAGCCUCUCAAGCACUGUGAAAAAUCACUUUCUCUUGUUGUAUUCUUGGAGCCCCUGCUAAUUCAUUAUUGAAAAAUACCUGCUGCCUGCAUUUGGCCUUAUGUUGUCAUUUACUUGGGUCUGUGCAUGGCGUUUAGAAGGCUACACCUUAGGCUGGGGGUCAAGAAUGUCUUCCCUGAUGUGAGGUUUACACAGAGAUCUGAAGAAUGAAGAGUCCAGCUAAGUUAAGUGGGAGCGGAUUAAGGGAAUGCAAGGACAUGAAAGAGUGUCCUAGGCAGAGGGAACAACAUAUACAAAGGCCCUGAGGUGGGAGUGAACAAGGAACUGAGAGAAGAACUGAGAGAAGGCCACUGUGGAAAGCCAGAUGCUGUGUGACAUGAAUAAUGGGACACAGGAAAUUGAGAUAUUAGCAAAAGAGAGAUUGAUGACCCAUAGGCUUGAAGAUGUACUGGAACUAAAGUACUUCCUAAGCGUGGCUACUCCAAUGAAGCUUUAGUAUAUGUACUGAAAGAAGAUCCUCUCAUACUGCCACAGCCAAGAGAUAAGGUUGUAAAUCUUUAUUGGGAGAAGCCGUCAAGGACAGUUCUGUGAAAUGAAAGGAUCUCUGGAUCACCACAAAGUCUGGCUCAGUGACUAUGGCUUUGCAAACACUAAACAUUCCUGUCUCAAGUCCUGUAGAUGGCUUGAAAUAGUAUACAUAAGCAUGCCUUAUAAACAUCUUCAGUCUUUAUCAACUCUUUGGAGAUUCAGCCAUUCUUUUUUGUACUUUAGGGAAUUAAAUCAUUUUAUAAUGUAU